AGUGUGUAAAUGAACGGACAUGACAGCAAGCAGACAGUAGGUGGGAAGAUUGCUGAUAUGAAUGGACAAGCAACUGGUAGUGUUAGUCAUCUUGGCAUUAUGCAUGCCGCCAUCAUAUUCUGUUGAUGUGGAGUGCAUUGGACGCAAGGGAGAACCGGGUGUUCCCGGAGUUCCGGGUCCUCCAGGAAGACAGGGACCAGUAGGAAAACAAGGAGCAGCAGGAAUUUCAGGCAGCACCGGCUUGAAGAUAAAUGAUUGGCAUUUAUGUGACUGGCUUGUCAAUUAUUCAUUGUUUGUAAUUUCUUUUUAAGGUGAGGUAGGAGCUGAAGGUGCAGUUGGUCCACCAGGUAAACAGGGAGUGCAAGGUGUGAUGGGUCGUGCAGGUCCACCCGGACCUCAAGGUCCUCCAGGCAAAAGUGGAAUGAUGGUAUGAGACAACACAUUGAAUGGACACACAUUUUGCAUUUGUAAUUUGUAAUUGUAUUUGAUGUGAAUGGAGGGUCCACCGGGACCCAGAGGUCCUCCAGGACAAACAGGAGGACGUGGAGAGAAGGUGGCAUCCAAUGUUUAGUGAAAAUUCAAUCAAUUUUAAUGAUUUGUGUUGUCACUUUAUGUAAGGGGAAACGAGGAGUGGAGGGUCCAAGAGGUUUGGCUGGAUUAGAUGGCAUUCCGGUAUUGUUAUGUCAAUUUAAUGUAUAUCUUGUUGAUGGACUGUGUGUGUUGCUUGUACAGGGUGCUGCAGGUCCCAUCGGAUCCGUAGGAUCACGUGGACCAUUAGGAGUGAAGGGUGAUGGUGGAUUACCCGGAGCAAAGGGAGAAGCCGGACCACAAGGUCGUCCCGGUGCAGAGAUGAGUGAAGAUGUGUUGAAACGCUAUUUUUCUCCAGUCAAGGGACUGGCAGAGAGGGUAGGGAUGGUUAUUGUAUGGUGAGAUGUUGUUUGUUGUGCAUGUAGAGCAUGUGCUCGUUUGGUAGAUGAAGGAACUGGAGGAUUGGAAAGAAGAGGUAGACAAGCAAAGAGAGGUGAAGUGAGUAGUGUUGUGUGGGACUGAUUGUUGAUGGUUGUUGCAGUGGACUAACAAUGAGAGUAGAGUGACUGUUGCAGCACAUCUUGUAGGAUCAUCAGACAAUUGGUAUACUAUAUCAGGUGUGAUAACCUACUGGCAAACAAGCAGUCCAUCAUUCUUACUGGGUGCCAUCACAUACAGCAAUGGAGCUCUUACAAUUCCAUCUGAUGGUGUUUACUAUAUUUAUACACAUCUGUGGUUAAAUGACUAUAGUGGCAGUGCCAUUGAUCCUUAUAUCAGAGUAAAUGGCAAUGGUGUUUUGUAUAUUCGAAGCCACCAUCAUCGUAGUGAAGAGAAAACCAAGCACGCUGGUCUACUUCAGCAGCUGAAAAAAGGUGAUAGCGUUGACAUAUAUGGUGGAGGAUAUCGACACUACAUGGGCGCUCCUCACUCAGUUUUUGGUAUUUUUAAAAUCAACUAGAGGCAUGUUGUUGAGAAUGAGAAUGUCAAUUAAUUAAGUGAUAAGUGUGAGUGUCAAAUGACUCUCCAUGUGAUCAUGUUUAAUAGUAAUUGUAGUUGUGACUGUGUAUGUUGGACUGUAGUGUGACCAUUCAACCCUAAUUUUUGUUUGUUUCAUUUCUGUAUUAUGAGCAAUAAAUGUUCAUCUCUUUCUCUC